rnacentral:rRNA from 1 species
GCUGCACCAGAAGUAGAUAGCUUAACCUUCGGGAGGGCGUUUACCACGGUGUGGUUCAUGACUGGGGUGAAGUCGUAACAAGGUAGCCCUAGGGGAACCUGGGGCUGGAUCACCUCCUUACCUAAAGA